GUUGCCAUAGCUCAUUGGUAGAGCAGGAUACUGUUAAUAUCAAGAAAAAAGUUCGAUUCUUUUUGGCGACU
rnacentral:tRNA from 1 species